GACGAACCGUGCGAACGUUGUUCGGACUCACUGGGCUUAAAGGGCGCGUAGGCGGGCUGCCAAGUCUGGGGUGAAAUCCCACGGCUCAACCGUGGAACUGCCUCGGAUACUGGCGGCCUCGAGGGAGGUAGGGGCGUGCGGAACUGUGGGUGGAGCGGUGAAAUGCGUUGAUAUCCACAGGAACUCCGGUGGCGAAAGCGGCGCGCUGGACCUCUUCUGACGCUGAGGCGCGAAAGCUAGGGGAGCAAACGGG
rnacentral:rRNA from 1 species